GACCCUAUAGUUGAAUAAUACAACAUCAAAUUGCAAGUUUGCCGGUGCUUUUAAAGCUAGGGUUU
rnacentral:tRNA from 1 species